GAUGAACGCUGGCGGCGUGCUUAACACAUGCAAGUCGAACGGAUGCUUUGGGAAACUGGAGCGUUAGUGGCAAACGGGUGAGUAACACGUGGGUGACCUACCUCAAAGUGGGGAACAACAGACCGAAAGGUUUGCUAAUACCGCAUUAGCUCGUCGAUUCAUUUUGACGAGUAAAGCCGUAAGGCGCUUUGAGAGGGGCCCGCGUCCCAUCAGGUAGUUGGUGAGGUAAUGGCCCACCAAGCCGAUGACGGGUAGCUGGUCUGAGAGGACGAUCAGCCACAAUGGAACUGAGACACGGUCCAUACUCCUACGGGUGGCAG
rnacentral:rRNA from 1 species